GAUGACGCUGGCUACGGGCUUAACACAUGCAAGUCGAGGGGAAACGACGGGGAAGCUUGCUUCCCCGGGCGUCGACCGGCGCACGGGUGAGUAACGCCUAUCCAACCUGCCUCUGACUGAGGGAUAACCCGUCGAAAGUCGGCCUAAUACCUCAUGGCAUCGUCUGCGGGCAUCCAACGACGAUUAAAGAUUUCAUCUGUCAUGGUUGGGGAUGCGUCUGAUUAGCUUGUUGGCGGGUUAACGGCCCACCAAGGCUACGAUCAGUAGGGGUUCUGAGAGGAAGGUCCCCCACAUUGGAACUGAUACACAUGCCACACUCCUACGGGAGGCAUCAGUGAGGAAUAUUGGGUCAAUGGGCUAGAGCCUGAAUCUGCCUAGUAUGGUGGAGGAGGACUUUUUUUUUGUGGGCCCCCCCCCCCCCCCCUUUAGCGUGGAUAUAAGUGGAUGAAAAAAGGGGUGGUGUCGGGUGCACUGUACUGUGGGGAAAUAAUUGACCUAUUGUAUUUUACUGGUCAUGUGUGUGCGUGGUGAAGACGGGAGGGGUGCGUCGCCGUUGAUGCGGGAUUUGUUGGUGCGUGUAAAGGGGAGUCGAUGUCGUGGAUGUAUGCUGGGUUGUGGAGUGUGCUUGUGUCGCUAGCUGAUUCGGCUACCUGCAAGCAGUCGAAUCUGUUUCUAUCUUUUGCUAUGUUGCCUGUGAUAGGUACAUGUCGCAGUUCUUGCAGUGUCCUAGUGUAUAUUGCACAUGUUCUAUAUCGAUGUGUGAAGAAAUGAUGAUUGAGCCGUAUAAUAUACGUCGCUCCUGUAGAUAUGUCUUUAGCUUUAUAGCUCGCUCAUCUUUGUGCUGACUAGCGUAGACGUAGAAAGUGAUACGUACUGCACUACUAGUAGUAGAACUCACAG
rnacentral:rRNA from 1 species